rnacentral:ncRNA from 26 species
GAUCUAUGAGGUGAGAAAGGUUCCUCACGCGCUUAUCUAACUUCGUUCUUGAUCAAUUAUUUGGUCCGUUAGGUAAGUUACCAGAGAUGUAGGAUACGCCGCCCUGCCAUCGAUC